rnacentral:rRNA from 1 species
UACGUAGGGAGCAAGCGUUGUCCGGAAUCAUUGGGCGUAAAGCGCGCGUAGGCGGCCUCAUAAGUCCGUUGUGAAAGUCAAAGGCUCAACCUUUGAAAGCCGAUGGAUACUGUGAGACUAGAGUACGGAAGAGGCGAGUGGAAUUCCUGGUGUAGCGGUGGAAUGCGCAGAUAUCAGGAGGAACACCAAUAGCGAAGGCGGCCCCCUGGACCGGUACUGACGCUGAGGCGCGAAAGCGUGGGUAGCAAACGGG